GAAAACCCAAUGACCAAACCUUGUAUCAUUACCUCUACUAUUGUUCAUUGUGCUCCCCUCAAUUUCUUUCUGUGCUCCCCUCAAAAAUUAUACUUAGGAGCACAUGUCAGCGUAGAGCCCUACAUUGUUCAGAGUACUUUGUAUCUCAAGAAAGUUGAACUUACUAUACGAGUGAUAUGUGUUUGUCUUACCUACCUUCAGAUGAAUGUAAGUCGCUCUAACCUCUGGUUAGCCUAGUGGUUAGAGUGUAGAGGUGGCAGGUAGCCUAGUGGUUAGAGUGUAGAGGUGGCAGUUAGCCUAGUGGUUAGAGUGUAGAGGUGGCAGUUAGCCUAGUGGUUAGAGUGUAGAGGUGGCAGGGUAGCCUAGUGGUUAGAGUGUAGAGGUGGCAGGGUAGUCUAGUGGUUAGAGUGUAGGGGUGGCAGGUAGCCUAGUGGUUAGAGUGUAGAGGUGGCAGUUAGCCUAGUGGUUAGAGUGUAGAGGUGGCAGGGUAGCCUAGUGGUUAGAGUGUAGAGGUGGCAGGGUAGCCUAGUGGUUAGAGUGUAGAGGUGGCAGGUAGCCUAGUGGUUAGAGUGUAGAGGUGGCAGGUAGCCUAGUGGUUAGAGUGUAGAGGUGGCAGUUAGCCUAGUGGUUAGAGUGUAGAGGUGGCAGGGUAGCCUAGUGGUUAGAGUGUAGAGGUGGCAGGGUAGCCUAGUGGUUAGAGUGUAGAGGUGGCAGGGUAACCUAGUGGUUAGAGUGUAGAGGUGGCAGGGUAGCCUAGUGGUUAGAGUGUAGAGGUGGCAGGGUAGCCUAGUGGUUAGAGUGUAGAGGUGGCAGUUAGCCUAGUGGUUAGAGUGUAGAGGUGGCAGGGUAGCCUAGUGGUUAGAGUGUAGAGGUGGCAGUGUAGCCUAGUGGUUAGAGUGUAGAGGUGGCAGGGUAGCCUAGUGGUUAGAGUGUAGAGGUGGCAGGGUAGCCUAGUGGUUAGAGUGUAGAGGUGGCAGGGUAGCCUAGUGGUUAGAGUGUAGAGGUGGCAGGGUAGCCUAGUGGUUAGAGUGUAGAGGUGGCAGUUAGCCUAGUGGUUAGAGCGUUGGACUAGUAACCGGAGGGUUGCAACUUCAAAUCCCGAGCUGAAAAGGUACAAAUCUGUCAUUCUGCCCCUGAACAAGGCAGUUAACCCACUGUUAGGCCGUCAUUGAAAAUAAGAAUUUGUUCUUAACUGACUUGCCUAGUUAAAUAAAGGUAAAAAAACAAAACAGGGGGCAUUAUUGAGUAGCUUGGAUGAAUAAGGUUCACAGAGUAAACUGCCUGCUACUCUGUCCCAGAUGCUAAUAUAUCCUAUGCAUAUUAUUAGUAGUAUUGGAUAGAAAACACUCUGAAGUUUCUAAAACUGUUUGAAUGAUGUCUGUGAGUAUAACAGAACUCAUAUGGCAGGCAAAAACCUGAGAAAAAUCCAACCAGGAAGUGGGAAAUCUGAGGUUUGUAGUUUUUCAACUCUUUGCCAUUCCAAUAUACAGUGUAAAUGGGGUCAUAUUGCACUUCCUAAUGCUUCCACUAGAUGUCAACAGUCUUUAGAACUUUGUUUGAGGCUUCUACUAUCAAGGGGGAAUUAGAGGGGAUUGAGCCAGGUCUCUGGCAGAGUGCCACAGGCUCGUGACACGUGGUCACGAGAGAGUUAGCUCUCGUUCCAUUGCUUUUCUACAUACAAUGGAAUUCUCCGGUUGGAACAUUAUUGAAGAUUUAUGAUAAAAACAUCCUAAAGAUUUAUUCUAUACUUAGUUUGACAUGUUUCUACGACCUGUAAUAGAACUUUUUUAACUUUUCGUCCGACGUUCAGCUGGACCUGAACGCGCGUUUGGAUUUGUUUACCAAACGCCCUAACAAAAGAAGCUAUUUGGACAUAGAUUAUGAACUUUAUCGAACAAAUCAAACAUUUCUUGUGGAACUGGGAUUCCUGGAAGUGCAUUCUGAUGAAGAUCAUCAAAGGUAAGUGAAUAUUUAGAAUGCUAUUUCUGACUAAUGUUGACUACACAAUAUGGCAAACAUCUUUUUGGCUGCUUUAUUGUCAGAACGCUGUACUCAGAUUAUUGCAUGGCUUGCUUUUUCCGUAACAUUUUUUAUUUUUUAAAUCUGUCACAGCGUUUGCAUUAAGGAGAAGAAUAUCUCGAAUUCCAUGUAUAACACUUGUAUUGUCAUCAACAUUUAUGAUGAGUAUUUCUGUAAAAUGAUGUGGCUCUCUGCAAAAUCACUGCAUGUUUUAGAACUACUGAACGUAACGCGCCAAUGAAAAAUGAGAUGUUUUUAUAUAAAUAUGCACUUUAGCGAACAAAACAUACAUGUAAUGUGUAACAUGAAGUCCUAUGAGUGUCAUUUGAUGAAGAUCAUCAAAGGUUAGUGAUUCAUUUUAUCUCUAUUUGUGCUUUUUGUGACUCCUCUCUUUGGCUGGAAAAAUGGCUGUGUUUUUCUGUGACUUGGUGGUGACCGAACAUAAUCGUUUGUGAUGCUUUCACUGUAAAGCCUUUUUGAAAUCAGACAAUGUGGCUGGAUUAACGAGAAUUUUAUCUUUAAAAUGAUGUAAAAUACUUGUAUGCUUGAGGAAUUUUAAUUAUGAGAUUUUUGGUGUUUUGAAUUUGGCGCCCUGCACAUUCACUGGCUGUUGGCGAGGCAGGACGCUACCGUCCCUCAUAUCCCAGAGAGGCUAAAGGACUAAAAUGUAAAAC